AUUGGGUCUUCCAAGUCGCCUUGCUGCGGAACGCUCAACAACUGGAAAUUCUUUGUGACGUCAAUUUGGGACGUCACGAUGCAUCUAUGGCGGCCGACAUCGACAUCAAGUUACGAACUUAUUGCGCAACAAACAUUUACAGCCGCCGUCGGACUAAACACUCCUUUGUCGACGGGUACAGUAGAGGUUGAAAUCGAUGACGUCAUAGGGUGGUACACAUCCGGUGCAGAGCUCAUUCCUCCCAGCGUCGCAGCGGGUUCGAGCACCCAGAACCAGGUGAUGGCGGCCCCGGU